rnacentral:rRNA from 1 species
GCAUAUCAAUAAGCGGAGGAAAAGAAACUAACAAGGAUUCCCCUAGUAACUGCGAGUGAAGCGGGAAAAGCUCAAAUUUAAAAUCUGGUGGUCUUUGGCCAUCCGAGUUGUAAUCUAGAGAAGUGUUACCCGCGUCGGACCGUGUACAAGUCUCCUGGAAUGGAGCGUCAUAGAGGGUGAGAAUCCCGUCUUUGACACGGACUACCGAGGCUUUGUGGUGCGCUCUCAACGAGUCGAGUUGUUUGGGAAUGCAGCUCAAAAUGGGUGGUAAAUUCCAUCUAAAGCUAAAUAUUGGCGAGAGACCGAUAGCGAACAAGUACCGUGAGGGAAAGAUGAAAAGAACUUUGGAAAGAGAGUUAAACAGUACGUGAAAUUGCUGAAAGGGAAACGCUUGAAGUCAGUCGCGUUGGCCGGAAAUCAGCCUUGCUUUUGCUGGGUGUACUUUCUGGUUGACGGGCCAGCAUCAGUUUUGACCGGUGGAAAAAGUUCAAGGGAAUGUGGCAUCUUCGGAUGUGUUAUAGCCCUUGUUCGUAUACAUCGGUUGGGACUGAGGAACUCAGCACGCCGAAAGGCCGGGUCUUUGACCACGUUCGUGCUUAGGAUGCUGGCAUAAUGGCUUUAAUCGACCCGUCUUGAAACACGGACCAAGGAGUCUAACAUGCCUGCGAGUGUUUGGGUGGAAAACCCGGACGCGUAAUGAAAGUGAAAGUCGAGAUCCCUGUCAUGGGGAGCAUCGACGCCCGGACCAGAAGUUUUCUGACGGCCCUGCGGUAGAGCAUGUAUGUUGGGACCCGAAAGAUGGUGAACUAUGCCUGAAUAGGGUGAAGCCAGAGGAAACUCUGGUGGAGGCUCGUAGCGAUUCUGACGUGCAAAUCGAUCGUCAAAUUUGGGUAUAGGGGCGAAAGACUAAUCGAACCAUCUAGUAGCUGGUUCCUGCCGAA